rnacentral:rRNA from 1 species
GGGGAAUAUUGCACAAUGGGCGAAAGCCUGAUGCAGCAACGCCGCGUGAGUGAUGACGGUCUUCGGAUUGUAAAGCUCUGUCUUUUGGGACGAUAAUGACGGUACCUGAGGAGGAAGCCACGGCUAACUACGUGCCAGCAGCCGCGGUAAUACGUAGGUGGCAAGCGUUGUCCAGAUUUACUGGGCGUAAAGGGAGCGUAGGUGGAUAUUUAAGUGGGAUGUGAAAUACUCGGGCUUAACCUGGGGGCUGCAUUCCAAACUGGAUAUCUAGAGUGCAGGAGAGGAAAGUAGAAUUCCUAGUGUAGCGGUGAAAUGCGUAGAGAUUAGGGAGAAUACCAGUGGCGAAGGCGACUUUCUGGACUGUAACUGACACUGAGGCUCGAAAGCGUGGGGAGCAAAC